rnacentral:lncRNA from 1 species
AGGGAAGACCCCUUUCUGGCCUAGGUAGAUCAAAUCAAUAGGAUAGUCUUACAGCUCGAUCGGAGGUCAAGACUGUGGUCCGGCAGAAAACAAGAAGUCAUUCGUAUCAAGUGAUGCGUGAAUUGCUCAGUAGUGCUUCGCCACUACCAUAGCUGAUUUCUGGUGGCGCAUCCCCCACACAAGCAUCGCCCGACGAAGGGGGGACGAGGAAAGCUACAGGCUGAAAAGCUUCGAC